UGAAAUCUGAUAAACUGGGGCUUAGAAUAUGGCCUCGAGGUAGAGUGCUUGCCUCCUAUACACAAAGCCCUGGGUUUGAUUCCUCAGCACCACAUA